rnacentral:rRNA from 1 species
AUUGAACGCUGGCGGAAUGCUUUACACAUGCAAGUCGAACGGCAGCACGGGAGCUUGCUCCUGGUGGCGAGUGGCGAACGGGUGAGUAAUGCGUCGGAACGUACCGAGUAAUGGGGGAUAACGCACCGAAAGGUGUGCUAAUACCGCAUACGCCCUGAGGGGGAAAGUGGGGGAUCGCAAGACCUCACGUUAUUCGAGCGGCCGACGUCUGAUUAGCUUGUUGGUGAGGUAAUGGCUCACCAAGGCGACGAUCAGUAGCGGGUCUGAGAGGAUGAUCCGCCACACUGGAACUGAGACACGGUCCAGACUCCUACGGGAGGCAGCAGUGGGGAAUUUUGGACAAUGGGGGAAACCCUGAUCCAGCCAUUCCGCGUGAGUGAAGAAGGCCUUCGGGUUGUAAAGCUCUUUCAGCUGGAACGAAACGGUACG